AAAAAAAAUGACGAAUAAAGACACUCAUCCAAACCGAUGGGUGUGCUUGUGUGUGUAUCCCAGGUCUUCUAUCCCAAAACUUCUGUAUGGCGAAAUACUCACGGACUUUUGUGCGCUGCAUGCUAAACAGUUUUUAGAAACACACCAAAGUCGGCAAUUGAAAAAUAAAACCAACCCGAAAAAGACAUAAAAUCCGGCGGAGGAGAGCUAUUCCCGGCCAGCACGCGAGCGGGCUGUCCGUGGAGCAUAAAUUGCCAGAGAAACAUUGUGGAACACGCCCAUUUGCAAAAUAAUUAUACGCCUCUGGAUAGAAACACACCAAGGAGCUAAGGAGUGGGUCCAAAUUAAAUCAACAAGCACAAACGUGGCCUUUUGGCCAAAUACGAGUACGCCCACCGCAGAACGCAAACUUUUCAACGCCGCAAAAUAUGAAGCAUUAAUAUUCACGCCCAUGUUAAAAGCACAUAAAUAGGCGUGGCAUGCCAGCAGCACUUCCGCUUGGCCCGGCCUGCCAUUUAUGCUUUCCCAGUUUUCCCAGCUUUUCCCGCCCCCGAGAGUUGCAUACAAUUUUCCAGCAAAGCCCAUUAACCCGGCCAGUAGACAAUUGGUAGAGGAAAACUGCUUACGAGCAAACCAUGUUCUACAUUAAAGUUUUAACGAUGGGUUGUUAAACUCUUUAAAAUAAUAUUUUAUUGUUUAGGAAAUUAUAUUUAUAUUAUUUUAAAAAGUGUUUAAAUAAAUGAGCAAAGUCGUAUUAUUAA